CAAAAAAAAAAAAAAAACAACUUGACAAUAAAAAAGCUAAUUAAUAAACAAUUUAUUAAAUGAUGAAAAAAAAAAGAUCUGAUAAUAUCUUCAAUGGCAGACUUAUCUUCUUUCUAUAUUCAUUAAAUAAAAGUAAAUGCAUAAUACAACAUCUCUAUCCUCAUCAACAGCAAAUGUUGGGCUAUGAACUAUUACAAAAUGUUGUUCACCGAUAAAUAAGAAAAUAAUGGACAAAACAAAAAGACAGCACAAAGUCACUCCUCAUUUAUUCAACACAUCUGGCCAAUACCCCAGGAUAUCACAUAGUCUCACACUCAAACAAAGUAGUGUGUAGCAAGACUGAGGAAGAAGACCAGAUUUUUAACAGAAUUUCUUAUUCAGCAAAUGUAAUUUGUGUAUUGCAAAACAAAUAAACAAUUUACACUUGUUUACAAAGAAAAACCUAAAAAAUUAUUAAAUAAACAAAGCAAUUUAACAUACAAAAUAAUUAAAUAAUUAUUUUUGCUACAGAAAUAUGUAAUAAGUAACAAUUUAAUUUUUUUCUCCAAUUCAAUAUUAUAA